rnacentral:rRNA from 1 species
GAAGCUUGACCUCGGAUCAGGUAGGGGUACCCGCUGAACUUAAGCAUAUCAAUAAGCGGAGGAAAAGAAACCAACAGGGAUUG